GGAAGGACCCUCGAGAGCCGAGUAGUCUCUGGGGACAAAGUAGUUCCCUUUCUCAAUAACUACCACCCUAAGGCCCGACUUUGCUAGGAUUGCAGCUGCAACUCCUCCGCCACAACCAGAACCCACUACCACUGCAUCACACUCGAUCUUAAAUAUGCAGAGGAAGAUGGAAGACUUACCCAUGUGAAGUAGUAGAACAAGAAGAUGGCUUUGAUCAUCAUAAAACCGAUUCUGGCAAGUGGGUUAUACCACUGUGUGUUCCAUCUCUGUAGAACCUUUUCCCUCUUCUCCAGGGACAUUUCAGAGAAUUUGAGAAGGAAAGGCCAAUUCUUCAUAUCAAGACAGACUAACCCGCAAAGCAGUAACGUCCCCAGUCUGAAUAGAAAGACAGAAAGUUGGAGAUAAACAACCUCAUCUGGUCGAACAUGAGACUCAGAAGUAGAAGAUUUGAAGAAAGAUAAGAGUGCAUCGUUGCGUAAAACCUUCAACUUCAUCUCAAGAUUUAAACUCUCUAAUGGAACAGGGGGCAUAAUAGCGUCGCAAAUGGCAGAGAGAGCUUGGAGGUCAGAUUGUGAGAAUCCAUGGCUGAAGCUUUCUUGUUUCGCACUCCAUCUCAACCAAGGGCUUCCUCUCUUCCCUAAUCUUCUUCUUCCUCCUACCAUCUCUCUCAGCUUUCAUAUCCCCUCUCUCUCUCUCUCUCUCUCUUCUUUACUCUUUCCGCUUUCUUCUUUACUCAAACAUAUAUAUAGACAGACAUGCGAAGCGCUUAGGGUUUGAAAGUGUAAGGCGGUUCCUUAAGUACUGUUGGGUAAUCUGAAAGAAGGAACAAAACAAACCUUGAAAGAGAUUGUUUAUUUUUUGAGUUUUGAGAUUAUGUUUGUUUGUGUCUGUAAAAAGAGACCACGUACGGAUGGAUACGAGUAAUAUCACGUGUGAUGUAUACGAAUACGUAAAUGUGUCUUCAGUCAGGUGUGAGAUACAUCAGGAGUCCACGUGACAAACGCUGCAUUGUACUGUUGUACAUUAUAUGUUACAUGUGUAUUUUUGA